GUCUACGGCCAUGCCACCCUGGACAUGCCCGAUCCUGGCUGAUCUCAGAAGCUAAGCAGGGUUGGGCCUGGUUAGUACUUACUUGUAUGAGAGACCACCUAGGAAGACCAGGUGCUGUAGGCA
rnacentral:rRNA from 1 species